rnacentral:rRNA from 1 species
AUGGCCACCACCGCCAGCUCGGUGGGGUGCCGGCCCCCCUCGUCGAGGAGAAGCUCCACCAGCACAGUCAUCGCGCCGGCCUCCACGGCCUUGACGCGGUUCCGGCCCCACGGACACAGCCGGCACAGCACGUUCAGCGCGGCCUUCACCGACUUGGCGGACACCCUGUCGGACACCACAUGCACCACCUCCUGCACCACCUCGGGUCUCACCGCCAUGAGACGCGCCGGCUCCAUCACCGACACCAUCGCCUUGAGCAGGAUGAUGCCCGUGACGGGGUCGCGCAUGAUCUCCAGCGAGAUCGGGCACAGGAAGUACGGCGGCACCUCCACCGACGGCCCCUCCAUCGCUGUAUAA